rnacentral:rRNA from 1 species
CAAUAGCGUAUAUUAAAGUUGUUGCGGUUAAAAAGCUCGUAGUUGGAUUUCUGCUGAGGAUGACCGGUCCGCCCUUUGGGUGUGUAUCUGGCUCUUUCUUGGCAUCUUCUUGGUGAACGUUGCUGCACUUGACUGUGUGGAGCGCUACCCAGGACUUUUACUUUGAGGAAAUUAGAGUGUUUCAAGCAGGCAUACGCCUUGAAUACAUUAGCAUGGAAUAAUAAGAUAGGACCUCGGUUCUAUUUUGUUGGUUUCUAGAGCUGAGGUAAUGAUUAAUAGGGAUAGUUGGGGGCAUUCGUAUUUAACUGUCAGAGGUGUAAUUCUUGGAUUUGUUAAAGACGGACUACUGCGAAAGCAUUUGCCAAGGAUGUUUUCAUUGA